rnacentral:rRNA from 1 species
UACAUGGGGUGCAAACGUUGCUCGGAAUCAUUGGGCGUAAAGCGCGCGUAGGCGGUUACUUAAGUCGAAUGUGAAAGCCCUCGGCUUAACCGAGGAAGUGCAUCCGAAACUGAGUAGCUAGAGUACGAAAGAGGGUCGCGGAAUUCCCGGUGUAGAGGUGAAAUUCGUAGAUAUCGGGAGGAACACCGGUGGCGAAGGCGGCGACCUGGGUCGAGACUGACGCUGAGGCGCGAAAGCUAGGGGAGCGAACAGG